GGGUGUGAGGGCGAUCUGGCUGUGACAUCUGUCACCCCAUUGAUGGCCAGGGUUGAGUCAGCUGAUCUGGCUGGCUAGGCGGGUGUCCCCUUCUUCCUUGCCACUCCACGUGCCACCCUCCCAAAGCUGUGCACUCAAAAGAGGACGACCUUCCUGGAAUAGAGAUGGACAGGUCUUCCCUCCAGGGUAUAUGAGUAGCUGUGCUCCCUCGCUAGAACCUCCAGACAAGCUCUCAAAUACUGGGAGGUACGAGGCCAGUAAGAACACUUUCCCUGAUGUCCUGGAGUUUCUGAGGGCAUCUG
ensembl:misc_RNA 7SK 7SK RNA